rnacentral:rRNA from 1 species
AGUGAACGCUGGCGGUAGGCCUAACACAUGCAAGUCGAACGGCAGCACAGUAAGAGCUUGCUCUUACGGGUGGCGAGUGGCGGACGGGUGAGGAAUACAUCGGAAUCUACUUUUUCGUGGGGGAUAACGUAGGGAAACUUACGCUAAUACCGCAUACGACCUACGGGUGAAAGCAGGGGAUCUUCGGACCUUGCGCGAUUGAAUGAGCCGAUGUCGGAUUAGCUAGUUGGCGGGGUAAAGGCCCACCAAGGCGACGAUCCGUAGCUGUCUGAGAGGAUGAUCAGCCACGCUGGAACUGAGACACGGUCCAGACUCCUACGGGAGGCAGCAGUGGGGAAUAUUGGACAAUGGGCGCAAGCCUGAUCCAGCCAUACCGCGUGGGUGAAGAAGGCCUUCGGGUUGUAAAGCCCUUUUGUUGGGAAAGAAAAGCAGCAGGUUAAUACCCCGCUGUUCUGACGGUACCCAAAGAAUAAGCACCGGCGAACUUCGU